rnacentral:lncRNA from 1 species
AGUUUAAGACAGCCUGGUGAGGCCCAGAGCCUCACCAGUCCCCCAGAAAACGGAGUAUUGUUUCCAUCCAAACCUUGCACUGAAAGGAGCCUGUCAGCAGGAAGUGACCUCGUGAGACAACUGUGGGGAGAGCAAAGGGCCGGGGAGAGAAAGGCCUCAUUCUCACUGCAAACAGGAAAAGGAAAGAGAAAAAGCAAGCUCUGUCUCCACACAAGGUUUGCUGGGCUGGCUAUGAACUGUUCCAGUACGUUCCAUCAAAUAGACGCCUUCAUAGAAUCAAGCCGAGCGCGAACGCCGUGUCUGGGGCUCCCACUCCCGGGACACACACGCGGGCUGGCUUACACAUGCUCUUGCUCUCUCGCGCUCUGGGAGAGCGCUUAUAUGGGCUUCAUGAGGCUAAAGAUCCCUUCAUUCUUCAGCAAUGGAUCAAAGAACUCUGAAAACAAGAACAACCCCGACAGCUGCAAACCACGAGCCCUCACCUCCAGCAGAGGUUUUCGGGAAACUCUGGACGACCACGCGCAUGCAGAGGUAAGGGAAUGAUCCGGUCCUACCUGGCGUUGACUUCCAGGUUCACUCAAAGGCCACGUGCCACCCUUUGCACAUCGUGUUUGGGUUGCAAAGGGGAAAGAUGCAUAUUGAAAGCCAGAAGUGUGCCCAGGCCAACAGACGUCUGAAAGCCACAGGGGACGACCCUGAAAAAGUCUGGCAGAUGCAGAACCACAGCUGAUCACUUUGGUCCGUUUGAGGGCCCCUUUCGCUCAGCUCUUUUGGGGGUUCCAGGGCUCUCAGAGCUUCCAGGUCCUGUAAGAAGAGAUGGAGUCAUAGCUGCGCCCUGUCCACUCUCGGGCUGUCACACAAGCCUGGAGCCCAGCCAUUUCUCGGCCUUGUCUUCAUCUUGGGCUAACCGGUCGUCUCCUGCAAACAGACAGCACGGAGAAGGAUGAGUGAACUCGGCCUCUCCCCACAGAAUACAGUUCGCCAUUACAGCGCUGAUUAAAUACAGGACAUUAUCUCACCAUAAUGCCCUCCUGGCGGCGUUCCCAGGAAAAUUCUAACUAAUCAUAAAAAUAGAAAGAAAAACGCAACCUAA